rnacentral:rRNA from 1 species
CGUGUCUCUAGUGUCAGCAGCCGCGGUAAUACGUAGGUGGCAAGCGUUGUCCGGAAUUACUGGGUGUAAAGGGAAGUGUAGGCGGGAUGUCAAGUCGAGAAGUGAAAAUUACGGGCUCAACUCGUAACCUGCUUUUGAAACUGACAUUCCUUGAGUGAAGUAGAGGCAAGCGGAAUUCCUAGUGUAGCGGUGAAAUGCGUAGAUAUUAGGAGGAACAACCAGUGGCGAAGGCGGCUUGCUGGGCUUUUACUGACGCUGAGGCUCGAAAGCGUGGGGAGCAAACAGGAUUAGAUACCCCUGGUAGUCCACGCCGUAAACGAUGAUUACUAGGUGGUGGGGGAUU